CUCUACAAGGAGCCACCAUGUGCAAGAUCAGAGCCAAAUACCUCUUCAUGCCAAUUUUCUCUGAACCAGACCAUCUGAUCGACGAUGCCUUCCAGGGAAGACAGAAGGGUGGGGUGGAGCUCUCGCUGCAUGUGCAUGAUUCGGCUGCAGCGCCACAUGGGUGCUGUUGCUCUUAUGGGCCCUGGAUCUGAUGCAGAAUGGGACUGGUUACCCACUGAACUUGGCUGCUGCUGUCCAGAAUCUGAGAGCAACACACACAACGCCAGUGUCAGCGCAAAACCGACAGACGCCAGGGCUCGGAGCGCUGCAGGACCCAUGGGCCAAAGGAGCGCUGGUUCCUGCCGGCGUGUGAAUCCCUACAAGACCGCUUCCCCAAGGACUGCGUGGGAGAAGGCCCUGGUUCUAGGCGCAGAUCAAAUCACUCGGAUAAAUGAACGCUUAUUACAUCCUGGCAAAAGAGAGACUGUACUCAGAUCAGACUUUGCUUCCUGCCCUACGGUGCUGCCCACUGAGGAGAGAUUGGCCACGGCUAUGAGUGAGCUGCAGGGCAGGGGUGGCUGCGGUGGUCUGUCUGGAUGUGGGGCACCCCCUGGAAUGAGCCCUUCCCGGCCUGGCCUACCGGCCCCACCCGAGACGUACCGCUCUUGUAGCGUUCCCGCUGUUCUAUUUUCAGGGUCAGGUACAGGGUCCGGAUGGGAAAGUAGACCGCUUGGGGAUACACGCGUCCAACCUGCUCAGAGACAAGAUGUUAUAAACAGUGCUGCUCUCUGCUGAGCUCUGGAUAAAGAUAAUUUGUACUGAAAAUAACCAAUGUCAAGUCAGAAACAGGUGUCUGAUCUGCCUUUGGACCAAGGAAGCAAAUACUGCAGCACUGAUCUGACGCACAAGGCCAGGUUCAACAGCAGGCAAAAUAUUUAAUUCACUUUAAAAGAGCCAAGACACAUCAACACAUGCAUUUCAUCAACUCCACCCAGGAACUGUGAGUGACAGGGAAACCACGCUUUCCUUCCAGGCAGUAAAUCUGAGGAAGGCAAAAUACAUGUGUCCCCAGAUCUCACUGAAGCAAAUAAAAAAACAAACAAAUACCAGCUAAUCUGUCAGGCACAAUUCACUGUGGAUUGUGAACUAAUUCCAUUAUCAAAUAACUUUAUUCUGCCUAACUGCAGCUGGGAGGAGAUGGAGGGAUGUCCGUUUCAGUUAAGAAACUCCCAUUUGAUUGAACUGGAGUUCUGUGGCUGACAGGACAGUACCAUGUCACUUGAAUCUUUCAGAAUGUGCCCAUGAAAGGAAGAAAGGAAUAACAUCUAAGCCGUCACAGGCAGAGGCGGCUGCUCUUGAACCUGAGAUGCUCCAGAAGUGAUGAGACCAAGUAGGUCGGACCUGCAUCCUGAGGAUAAGUGCUACACAGAAUGCUGGGACUCAAAAACACAGCUGCCUCCUCAAGGAAAACCAGGGCAUCGCUCAGGGCCCACAUAGCACAGGUGCUGCGUGCAGGAAGGAGCCAGAGGAAUGGGUGGGCAGAACGCGCGGGCCCAGCUCCUUCCUGAACACCUUCACGGACUCCUGCGGUGCUUCGUGAUUUUACAAAAGCAACCACAAAGGCGCUGUGUCCCAAACCUCACUGUAGCCACGCUUCCGCCGUUUCUGGUCCUUCCUCUAUGCCUGGGUCUUUUCACGGGAGAGGGACAUCCUGGAAUCAUUCUCAAGAGAUGGUUAUGAGAGCCUUUCCAUAGGGCCCUGGGCUGUCCGCUUCCCCGGCCUGGCCCCACUGCCCUUGAGAACCAUGGGUUCCUUAUGAUGCAGCUCAACUGUCGAAAGGGCGACAGCCACAAUUGGGCAUGUUUUAGUUUAAGGGCAGCUCCGAAGAGCUCCCAGCAUAUGACAAAAAAUCAGAGGAAAACUACCAAUCAGAUUCAGGGCUCACUGUCAUUCUCAGGGUACCCACUGGCAAUUGUAUGUUUUACUACAAGUUUAUUUUACUUACAUUAUAUAUGGGAAAAUGUUUAAGAAAUUAGAAUUUUAACACUGAACUGCUUUAUUAGCUAUUUCAUUUCAACUCUGAUAUAUUCUUUAAUAACUUUUAAUUAUGCUUUAUAUUAAAUAAUAUCUACAUGAUUAUAUCUUCCCAUCUCUUUAACUUGUUUUUAAUACUUUGAACACUCAAAUUUACUUUCUGGGAGAAAAAAGAACGCAAAAUGAAGACACAAUGUUUUGUGCACGUGAACAAGGCCACCCUGCUCUUCCCACCUGGCUAAUGAGGUUCAAGAGCAGCUUUCCCUCCGAGCCAACCAGGCAGGUGAGCAGCUGUGGGAUCCAGGCCAGCCACUGGAUGGGUGGCACACCAAUGCAGUACUUGUCGACGGCAUCUGCCAAAGUGUUUUUGUCAUCAUCAAAACUCAAAAGCCACAGCACCUGAGACAGAAGGAGAAAUUCUAGAGUAGAAUGACAAUUCUGAAGCCCUCAAGCAAGAGACUUUUUCCCCAACAUUACAACACUGUAUAGAGCGGCUUUACUGGCCAUGUAAAAAAAGUAUCUAUAAGCAGGCCAACAUUAUUGCUAAACUUAAUGUAAAUCUUACAGUAUAUAAAACCUAAAAUUUAAAAAUAGAUUUUCUCUUUAGUUUUUUUGUGUUUUGUUUUUGAGACAGUCUUGCUUUGUCACCCAGGACUGGAGUGCCGUGGUGCGAUCUUGGCUCACUGCAACCUCCACCUCCCGGGUUCAAGCAAUUCUCCUGCCUCAGCCUCCCCAGUAGCUGGGACUACAGGCACACACCACCACGCCUGGCUAAUUUUUGUAUUUUUAGUAGAGAUGGGGUUUUGCCAUGUCGGCCAGGCUGGUCUUGAACUCCUGACAUCAAGUGAUCCACCCACCUUGGCCUCCCAAAGUGCUGGGUUUACAAGCGUGAGCCACCACUCCCGGCCUUUUGAUUUAGUUUUAAUGACAAUUACUCGCUGAUCUAAUCCACUGACUAGCACUGACCAGUGACCGACUGCAAGACAG
ensembl:lncRNA novel transcript, antisense to TRRAP